GUAGCUCAGAAGGCUAGGGUGCUGGCCCUAUAUGCCAGAGGUCGCAGGUUCAAACCCAGCC
rnacentral:tRNA from 1 species